rnacentral:rRNA from 1 species
UACGUAGGGGGCGAGCGUUAUUCGGAUUUACUGGGCGUAAAGCGCGUGUAGGCGGCUGGUUAAGCGUGAUGUGAAAUCUCCGGGCUCAACCCGGAAACUGCAUUGCGAACUGGCCUGGCUGGAGUGCAGGAGAGGGUAGUGGAAUUCCCGGUGUAGCGGUGAAAUGCGUAGAGAUCAUGAGGAAGACCAGUGGCGAAGGCGGGUCUCUGGACAGUUCCUGACACUGAGACACGAAGGCCAGGGGAGCAAACGGG